AGGAAAANAAANNAACCGGGAUUGCCUCAGUAACGGCGAGUGAAGCGGCAAAAGCUCAAAUUUGAAAUCUGGCACUUUCAGUGUCCGAGUUGUAAUUUGUAGAAGUAGUUUUGGGACUGGUCCUUAUCUAUGUUUCUUGGAACAGGACGUCAUAGAGGGUGAGAACCCCGUAUGAUGAGGCNCCCCAGUCCUUUGUAAAACGCUUUCGAAGAGUCGAGUUGUUUGGGAAUGCAGCUCUAAGUGGGUGGUAAAUUCCAUCUAAAGCUAAAUAUUGGCGAGAGACCGAUAGCGAACAAGUACAGUGAUGGAAAGAUGAAAAGAACUUUGAAAAGAGAGUGAAAAAGUACGUGAAAUUGUUGAAAGGGAAGGGCAUUUGAUCAGACAUGGUGUUUUGCGCCCUUUGCUCCUUGUGGGCGGAGGAUACGCAGCUCACUGGGCCAACAUCAGUUUUGGGAGCAGGAUAAAUCUGUAGGAACGUAGCUUUCUUCGGGAAGUGUUAUAGCCUAUGGGAAUACUGCUACCUGGGACUGAGGACUGCGUCUUUUGACAAGGAUGUUGGCAUAAUGGUUAAAUGCCGCCCG
rnacentral:rRNA from 1 species